rnacentral:rRNA from 1 species
AGCAGCCGCGGUAAUUCCAGCUCCAAUAGCGUAUAUUAAAGUUGUUGCAGUUAAAAAGCUCGUAGUUGAAUUUCGGGGUUCUUCCGUUGGUCAGGCUAACAAGUCUGUACUAGCGUGUAGAAUCUCUACCUUCUGGGGAACCAUCAUGUUAUUAAUUUAGCGUGGUGGGAAACCAGGACCUUUACCUUGAAAAAUUAGAGUGUUCAAAGCAGGCUUACGUCUGAAUACAUUAGCAUGGAAUAAUAAAAUAGGACGGUGGUCCUGUUUUGUUGGUUUCUGAAUCACCGUAAUGAUUAAUAGGGAUAGUUGGGGGCAUUAGUAUUCAAUUGUCAGAGGUGAAAUUCUUGGAUUUAUUGAAGACUAACUUCUGCGAAAGCAUUUGCCAAGGAUGUUUUCAUUAAUCAAGAACGAAAGUUAGGGGAUCGAAGACGAUCAGAUACCGUCGUAGUCUUAACCAUAAACUAUGCCGACUAGGAAUCAGACGAUGUUAAUUUUUAAUGUACUC